UACGGAGGGAGCUAGCGUUGUUCGGAAUUACUGGGCUUAAAGCGCACGUAGGCGGCUUUGUAAGUCAGAGGUGAAAGCCUGCAGCUCAACUCCAGAACUGCCUUUGAGACUGCAUCGCUUGAAUCCGGGAGAGGUGAGUGGAAUUCCGAGUGUAGAGGUGAAAUUCGUAGAUAUUCGGAAGAACACCAGUGGCGAAGGCGGCUCACUGGACCGGUAUUGACGCUGAGGUACGAAAGCGUGGGGAGCAAACAGG
rnacentral:rRNA from 1 species